rnacentral:rRNA from 1 species
UGCCAUCAGAUGUGCCCAGAUGGGAUUAGCUAGUUGGUGAGGUAACGGCUCACCAAGGCGACGAUCCCUAGCUGGUCUGAGAGGAUGACCAGCCACACUGGAACUGAGACACGGUCCAGACUCCUACGGGAGGCAGCAGUGGGGAAUAUUGCACAAUGGGCGCAAGCCUGAUGCAGCCAUGCCGCGUGUAUGAAGAAGGCCUUCGGGUUGUAAAGUACUUUCAGCGGGGAGGAAGGUGUUGUGGUUAAUAACCGCAGCAAUUGACGUUACCCGCAGAAGAAGCACCGGCUAACUCCGUGCCAGCAGCCGCGGUAAUACGGAGGGUGCAAGCGUUAAUCGGAAUUACUGGGCGUAAAGCGCACGCAGGCGGUCUGUCAAGUCGGAUGUGAAAUCCCCGGGCUCAACCUGGGAACUGCAUUCGAAACUGGCAGGCUUGAGUCUUGUAGAGGGGGGUAGAAUUCCAGGUGUAGCGGUGAAAUGCGUAGAGAUCUGG